AUUGAACGCUGGCGGCAUGCUUUACACAUGCAAGUCGAACGGUAGCAGGUUAAGCUGACGAGUGGCGAACGGGUGAGUAAUGCAUCGGAACGUGCCCGGUCGUGGGGGAUAACGCAGCGAAAGCUGCGCUAAUACCGCAUACGAUCUGAGGAUGAAAGCGGGGGACCGUAAGGCCUCGCGCGAUCGGAGCGGCCGAUGUCAGAUUAGGUAGUUGGUGGGGUAAAGGCUCACCAAGCCAACGAUCUGUAGCUGGUCUGAGAGGACGACCAGCCACACUGGGACUGAGACACGGCCCAGACUCCUACGGGAGGCAGCAGUGGGGAAUUUUGGACAAUGGGCGAAAGCCUGAUCCAGCAAUGCCGCGUGCAGGAAGAAGGCCUUCGGGUUGUAAACUGCUUUUGUACGGAGCGAAAAGGUCUCCUCUAAUACAGGGGGCUCAUGACGGUACCGUAAGAAUAAGCACCGGCUAACUACGUGCCAGCCGCCGCGGUAA
rnacentral:rRNA from 1 species